UAGCUAUGAGGAUUUCUGCGCCAAUUAGAUGGAGGGGUCCAUCAUUCUCAUCUGACCCAAGAUGAAAAUAUGCGCUUCUGAGCUU